rnacentral:tRNA from 1 species
GCCGACUUAGCUCAGUUGGUAGAGCGACGCUUUCGUAAAGCGUAGGUCCGGAGUUCAAGUCUCCGAGUCGGCU